ensembl:lncRNA
AGGGGGUACUGGUACAGAGUCAAUGUGGAGGCUAUAUACAGGGGGUACCGGUACAGAGUCAAUGUGGAGGCUAUAUACAGGGGGUACCGGUACAGAGUCAAUGUGGAGGCUAUAUACAGGGGGUACCGGUACAGAGUCAAUGUGGAGGCUAUAUACAGGGGGUACUGGUACAGAGUCAAUGUGGAGGCUAUAUACAGGAGGUACUGGUACAGAGUCAAUGUGGAGGCUAUAUACAGGGGGUACUGGUACAGAGUCAAUGUGGAGGCUAUAUACAGGGGUACUGGUACAGAGUCAAUGUGGAGGCUAUGUACAGGGGGUACUGGUACAGAGUCAGUGUGGAGGCUAUAUACAGGGGGUACUGGUACAGAGUCAAUGUGGAGGCUAUAUACAGGGGGUACUGGUACAGAGUCAAUGUGGAGGCUAUAUACAGGGGGUACCGGUACAGAGUCAAUGUGGAGGCUAUAUACAGGGGUACUGGUACAGAGUCAAUGUGGAGGCUAUAUACAGGGGGUACUGGUACAGAGUCAAUGUGGAGGCUAUAUACAGGGGGUACUGGUACAGAGUCAAUGUGGAGGCUAUAUACAGGGGGUACUGGUACAGAGUCAAUGUGGAGGCUAUAUACAGGGGGUACUGGUACAGAGUCAAUGUGGAGGCUAUAUACAGGGGGUACUGGUACAGAGUCAGCGUGGAGGCUAUAUACAGGGGUACUGGUACAGAGUCAAUGUGGAGGCUAUAUACAGGGGGUACUGGUACAGAGUCAGCGUGGAGGCUAUAUACAGGGGGUACUGGUACAGAGUCAAUGUGGAGGCUAUAUACAGGGGGUACUGGUACAGAGUCAAUGUGGAGGCUAUAUACAGGGGGUACUGGUACAGAGUCAAUGUGGAGG